UGUAAGCGUAUACCAAAGUUGUUGCAGUUAAAACGCUCGUAGUCGGAAUUUGGCAGUUCCGGAUGUGUGCACGUCGUGUGCGCACUUCGCGGGGAUUGCUUUUGUGGUCUUGCGUAGGAUGAGGCACUUUUAUUAGUGAACGUCCUCACGCAACCACUUUUUACUGUGAGAAAAUCAGAGUGCUCAAAGCAGGCAUUUGCCGUGAAUGUAUUAGCAUGGAAUAAUAGAAUAGGACUUGGUUCUAUUUUGUUGGUUUGUUGGGACUGAGUAAUGAUUAAGAGGAACAGUUGGGGGCAUUUGUAUUUCGGCGCUAGAGGUGAAAUUCUUAGAUUGCCGAAAGACAAACUGCUGCGAAAGCGUCUGCCAAGGAUGUUUUCAUUGA
rnacentral:rRNA from 1 species